GACGAACGCUGGCGGCGUGCCUAAUACAUGCAAGUAGAACGCACAGUUUAUACCGUAGCUUGCUACACCAUAGACUGUGAGUUGCGAACGGGUGAGUAACGCGUAGGUAACCUGCCUGGUAGCGGGGGAUAACUAUUGGAAACGAUAGCUAAUACCGCAUAAUAUUAAUUAUUGCAUGAUAAUUAAUUGAAAGGUGCAAUUGCACCACUACCAGAUGGACCUGCGUUGUAUUAGCUAGUAGGUGAGGUAACGGCUCACCUAGGCGACGAUACAUAGCCGACCUGAGAGGGUGAUCGGCCACACUGGGACUGAGACACGGCCCAGACUCCUACGGGAGGCAGCAGUAGGGAAUCUUCGGCAAUAGACGAAAGUCUGACCGAGCAACGCCGCGUGAGUGAAGAAGGUUUUCGGAUCGUAAAGCUCUGUUGUAAGAGAAGAACGGGUGUGAGAGUGGAAAGUUCACACUGUGACGGUAUCUUAUCAGAAAGGGACGGCUAACUACGUG
rnacentral:rRNA from 1 species